rnacentral:rRNA from 1 species
GACGAACGCUGGCGGCGUGCCUAACACAUGCAAGUCGAACGGAGCUUUACUUUGAACUGAGAGAAGCUUGCUUCAGGAAGUUCUGUGUAAAGCUUAGUGGCGGACGGGUGAGUUACGCGUGAGUAACCUGCCGUUCAGAGGGGGACAACAGUUGGAAACGACUGCUAAUACCGCAUAACGUAUAGUUUUGGCAUCAUUACUAUACCAAAGGAGUAAUCCGCUGAAUGAUGGACUCGCGUCUGAUUAGAUAGUUGGUGAGGUAACGUCUCACCAAGUGGACGAUCAGUAGCCGGACUGAGAGGUUGAACGGCCACAUUGGGACUGAGACACGGCCCAGACUCCUACGGGAGGCAGCAGUGGGGGAUAUUGCACAAUGGAGGAAACUCUGAUGCAGCAACGCCGCGUGAGGGAAGAAGGUCUUCGGAUUGUAAACCUUUGUUUUUGGUGACGAAUCAUGACGGUAGCCAAAGAGGAAGCCACGGCUAACUACGUGCCAGCAGCCGCCGUAAAAC